rnacentral:tmRNA from 2 species
GGGGAUGUAAAGGUUUCGACGGGGGAUGCGACCCCUGAUAAGCGAGCGGCGGUGCGGGACCGCCAUAAAAUCCGCAAACUUUAAAAUAACUGACAAAAAACCAGUUUUAAUGGCUGCUUGAUGCAGCUCGUCUCUGCGCGGAGCACCUCGGCCGCGUAAGAGGCGUCGACCAGAGGUAAAGGUGAACAGGGCUGAGCUUCAGGCUCUGUCAUCAAUUUGAAGCUACUAAAACGCGCAGCCUGUCGUUAGGCGGCGCGCGGAGGGAAUGUCAAAAUAGCGACUGCGCUCGGAGAAAGUCACGGCGAACAUCUUUCGGACAGGAGUUCGAUUCUCCUCAUCUCCACCA